rnacentral:lncRNA from 1 species
AGAACCAGGUUCCCCCAGGCACCAUGCCAGCCCCAUAGCACUACCCACUCCACGACUUCUGCUGCACCCCACUGCUGGGGUGAUUGUUCCAAUGUGACUGAACACUUCAAACUCCAUCUGGUAAGCUUGGCUGCUGAGUGUCACCUCCUUCCCC